GAGGAGCUCCUGACCGCUCUCACCAGGCCGGGCUGGCGGAGAGACGAGCCUCGGCCGGGUGUCCCCACCCGGAUCCCAGGCCGGGACCCCAGCUCUGGGCGCGGUCCGCCCCGCGGGCUCACCUGGUAGAUCAUGACUUUGAAGUUGCGGCGCCUCAGCAGCUCCGCCUCGUUGACCUCCAGUUUCUUUAUCUGGCCGGCCUGGCGCUCCAGGCUGCCGCGCACGGUCUUCACGUUGACGCUGACCUUGCGCACCUUCUCCAGCAACUUGCUCACGGUGUUGCUCGUGGUGGCGUGCGCCUUGCCCAGCUUGCUCAGCUCUCCCUGGAUGCUCUGCACAGCGCCCUCCAUCUCCGCCUGUCGCUCCUCCAGCUGGGCUUGGGUCAGCUGGAUCUGGUCAACGGCGCCGAUGAUUUUAUCCAGAAGGCUCAGCACCAGCACACCGUUCACCUGGUCCGACUUGAUCAGCUCGUCGGAGCCGGUCCCCGACGGCUCCUCCGUGGCCCGCGCCUCCCCUUGGGUGGGCUCCGGGCCCUCUGAGGAAGCAUCGGGAAAUCCGGAAUACGGCCGCUCAACGAUAUGGAGCGUGACAUCCUCCAUGGCUUCCCGGAGCCGUGCGGGGCCGACCGGGUGGAACUGGAGCGGGAGACCGGGAGAGAAGGAGGAGCGAGAGACUGGACAGCGAGCAGGAGCCCAGAGCGGAGGAAACUCGAGCCACGUCCGUGCGCACCGGGACUCUAGCCAGAACUGUGGGGCGGGGAAUCUGCGAGUUGCCCGGCUCCUAGACCAAACCCGGAGUCCCGUCGGCCAUUGGCUGGCCCCACCCCAGAAAGGGAGGAACCGGGGCAGGAGGGGAGACCAACCCCGGAGGGGCAGCAGAGGGGAACCCAAGAGCUGGGCGCCCCACCCUGUUCAGGAUGGUUGGAAUAGUUGGAGCGGGAGUCUAGGGCCCCCCUUGGCAGUGGAGGCUGCGGCAGCGGGACUGGGGCAGAGGAAUGUGAGCUGCGGAAAGGAAUUAGGUCUUCGGAGUGUGCUCUACUCUUUCUCUUUCCUCACCCACAAACCCACUCCAGCCUUUUAAGAUCAAGCUGAGGUCCAAAUGGCGCGUGAAUUGGGUGUAAACGAGUAGUUUGUGUCUAUGCCUCAUGUCCUUGGAGGAUCCUUGCCCUAUACAAUCUUUUUCAAAGAUUUGGGGGUCUGCCCCCAUCGUCUAUCUAUACACUGAGUUACCACUGUCCCCCAAAUCUUGUGGGGUUGUUAGUGAGAGAGAGGGAAGAGAUGAAAUGACAGAAAGGGUGACGGCCUAGAAAGGGCCUCUAGGUUUCUCUUAGAAUUGUAAGGACAGGGCAUGAUUAAGGCGAGAAGUAAAUUAUAAAGUAAAAGCUUUUGGUCACUUCUCCCAGGGCCCCCUCCAGCAGAUAUCUAGCUAAUUCUAAGAAUGUGAGCGUCGGACUCGUUCUUCCCUUGGGUUCUCGGAUAUUAGGUGAGCAUUCAGGGAGAUCACGGAACCCCAUCUCUUUACCUAGCAGAGAAAAGAAGGCCAAGAGGAGGCAGGUGGCUCUCCAGGGUUCACUCCAGGUUACUGUUGCCAUCUGUUCUUAGCUCCAGGUCUCUGAACUCCACCGGUACUCAGUACCUUUCCCUGGGGCAGGAAUUGGGGCAACUAUAGCGGUACUACCGAAUGGGGAAGCGAACAGUUUUCUUCAUGGUGCUGAACACCAAGGAGCUGGCAGUUCUGAGCAGGCGCAGAAAAGUCCUUAGCACAGACGUCUAGAGACACAGGCUGCCCUGUGUCUCUAGACACAGGCCCUCAGCAAUCCCUGGAGCCACCCCAAUUCCCUUUCCCACAGAGAUACUGAAAACCUUUUCCCUGAUUAGGAAACCAGGCUUGGGGUUCCCCGCCUGGAUGGGUUCUCGGCAAAAGGUCACUUCUAGUCUGGUGCCCACCCUCCUUAAGUUAAACGCUGCUCUGUGGAGACUCGAGGGUCGUCGAUCUAAUCAAUCAAUUCACCAACGUGUGGAGCAGAUUGCCAUAUAGGGUAUAGAACUUUAGGGACCUCUGAAUAAAACAGCAAUCCCCCAACACACCAAUUGGUUUUCUCACUUGAGGUUAAAGAAGAGAGACCCUCAGGCGAGAGUGGCGACGCACGCCUUUAGUCCCAGCCAUUGGGAAGCAGAGGCAGGCAGAUCUCUGAGUUCGAGGCCAGCCUAGUCUACAUAGUGAGAUUCAGGAUAGCCAGGACUACACAGAGAAACCCUGUCUUGAAAGACAAAACAAAAAAAAAGAGUGAACUUCUGCAUACAAUUGAAUAUUUGCCAGGUGUGAUGGGAUACCUUUGAUCAAAGCACUUGGAAGGCAGACAGGCAGAUGUCUAUGAGUUCGACAGCAUCUUGGUCUACAUAGCUAGUUCUGGGCCAGCCAGAGCUAUACACUGAUACCCUGUCUCAAAAACAAAACAAAUGGGGAAACAAACAAACAAAAUAAACUACAUGUUUUAUAACCAUCA
rnacentral:lncRNA from 1 species